GAAUGUGAGGUUGAUCUGGAUUUCUGUCACUUAUUGAUCCAAAGUUUAUUCGAUCGAUCUGCCUGGUCAGAGAGGUAGUCCACUGCUCUCUCACAGGCCUCUGUGGUCCCUCCUCAAGAACUUCCUGACAGGAGAAAGGAAGCCAGGUUUAGGUCAAGGCUGUGUGAGCAGUCGUACUCCCUGCCAGAACCUGCACACAAGCUCUCAGGGACCGUGCUUUGAGAACAGCGGGCUGCCUUGCAUCCUCAGAGCAGAGCCGCGGGGUUGUGAAAGAUCAAUGAAACACUCGUUGUUAGGUGCUUCCAU
rnacentral:snRNA from 1 species